rnacentral:rRNA from 1 species
UACGUAGGGGGCAAGCGUUAUCCGGAUUUACUGGGUGUAAAGGGAGCGUAGACGGUGAGACAAGUCUGAAGUGAAAGCCCGGGGCUCAACCCCGGGACUGCUUUGGAAACUGCCUGACUGGAGUGCUGGAGAGGCAAGCGGAAUCCCUAGUGUAGCGGUGAAAUGCGUAGAUAUUAGGAAGAACACCAGUGGCGAAGGCGGCUUGCUGGACAGUAACUGACGUUGAGGCUCGAAAGCGUGGGGAGCAAACAGG